UAGGUUUUCAAAUCAAAAAUACUUAAUAAAACACAAAAAUGACUAAAUAAAAGGACGUCGAUGAAGAGGAAGACCAAGGCGGAACUAGUAAAAGUGGAAGUUGUGUUGUAUCAGAACGACGGAACUCGCUGUGAAUGCAUAUUAACAGUCCUCAACCAACAAGACUCCUAUCUUCUUCUUUGUCGUUCCCACACUGCUGAGGAUCGCGACCACAGGUUAUGGUUUUCCACUUGGUACGGCUAUAUGCUGCGUGCACCGCCCUCUGUAUGCUGCCGUCCACCGUCUUCUUCACGAUGUCAGACCACCUCGUAGGCGCCCUUCCUCGCGCACGUUUGCUAUCCAUUUGCCCAACGAUGAUCUGCUUCUCCAGACUGUGCUUCGGAGACCGCAUAAUAUGUCCGAAGAAGCUUAGGGCACGAUUCCGGCAUAUUGAGGAGAGCCGCGUCGUGAUCUUGAGCUCUUUUAAUAUGGACUCAUUCGUACACGUAAAUAGCCUUAAAUUACCAAGUAGAGAAAGUCCACCAUGAGGUGAGCACGAAGUUUUGAAGACAGGAGUGAUUGUAUUAGAUUUCCUCCUGAGCAGUUGCACUACAAAUUUAGUGAUGAAGAGGCAAUACUUGACAGAAACCUUAAGUUGGAUGACAUAAUUAUAAAGAAAAUCAAUAAGAGGAUGAACUCUUUUAAUGUUUAUAAAACAAUAGUAUGGAAGAAUUUUGAUGCAUCUUGGAGCAAUGGCAACAUAUUUGGGAGUUGAGAGUGACAACGAGCAGAUUACAUAACAAUGGGAGGAUAACAAGGGCCUUAACUGAAAAAACUGGUGAAUGUUCCCAAAUAAACCUCACAGAUGUAGAAGAAAGACAAAAUAAAUUUGUUUAUUUAUUUUAUUUCUGUUCCCUACUAAACUAGUAAUAAAACAUACUUGUUACAAAUA
rnacentral:lncRNA from 1 species